rnacentral:rRNA from 1 species
AACGAACGCUGGCGGCAGGCCUAACACAUGCAAGUCGAGCGAAGCCUUCGGGCUUAGCGGCGGACGGGUGAGUAACUCGUGGGAACGUGCCCUUUGGUACGGAAUAGCCCCGGGAAACUGGGAGUAAUACCGUAUGUGGUCGAGAGACGAAAGAUUUAUCGCCAAAGGAUCGGCCCGCGUUGGAUUAGGGAGUUGGUGGGGUAAAGGCCUACCAAGCCGACGAUCCAUAGCUGGUUUGAGAGGAUGAUCAGCCACACUGGGACUGAGACACGGCCCAGACUCCUGCGGGAGGCAGCAGUGGGGAAUCUUAGACAAUGGGGGAAACCCUGAUCUAGCCAUGCCGCGUGAUCGAUGAAGGCCUUAGGGUUGUAAAGAUCUUUCAGUGGGGAAGAUAAUGACUGUACCCACAGAAGAAGCCCCGGCUAACUCCGUGCCAGCAGCCGCAGUAACAC